CAAGUUUGUUUCUAGGAUUCCACCUCAAGUAAAUACUUGCUCUUUGUAUGAAUUUUUUGUAGAGAUGAUGGAGUCAAAAUGACUGCUUUGGUUGGAGCUGCAUUUUUCUCUGAAGUCUGUAGAAGCUUGUUACCAUGUUAAAUGCCCAGCUUUCAUUAAAUCCACACCUGAAGGGUUUGUUGUCCUUCUAAUCGUGAAUUUUCAGCCCACCCAACACUUUUCUGAGGUACCUGGUACUUGCAUCUUUUGCUUCAGCAUCCUAGAAAUCCAAGGAUCUUCUUUACUUCUAUAUUAUGGGAGUUAUUGCAUUCAGAUAAACUGCAAUGCCAAGGAAUAAUCAGCUGCUUGCAAGAAUAUUUCAGCUGACAUUCCUGUGAUUGUGUGUUCUUGUUUUGUUUUACUAUUUCUAAAUAUUCUGUUAGGUUUCAGCUCCUACAAAGUAUUUAGAAGCAUCCUCCAGACUGGACCAUUGUCCAUAUUUUAAAAUGAUAGUUUGCAUGUGUUGCAUGAGAUCACUGCUUUUUAGGAUGAAGACUCACUGAAGACUUAAGUGAGGCAGAGAACCUGACUAACUCACAAAGCUAAAGGUAUCCAAAUUGUUAUGGUCUAAGUCAUAACUGUCCUAAGAAGGAGUUAAGUAUAACAAAGAAGUGGGAAUUUCCAGGCCUGAGUUCCGCACCAGAGUUCCUAGACUCCAAAUCAUCAUAAAUGCUUGUUUUUCCCAAAACACAAACACCCUUCUGACCUCUCUGAUUUUCUGACAUAAACUAAGAAUCUUUUUCAUGAUAAUCAGUCAAGUAUCAGUUCCAAAAAGCCAUUGCUGUGCAUUAUAGGCACUUAUGCACAUUAGAAAACAAAACAAAACAAGCAGUCUACCACUUUCCGGGAUUAAUGCUAUGAAGGAUUUUAUGGGUGGUCCAUAAGUGGACAGAAUGUUGCACUAAUGUGUGACUGCAUGGCAAUUAAGCUUAAUUAGG
rnacentral:lncRNA from 1 species